AUUCCAUGGUGAGGGCAUUUCUAUAAUAGUUCUUUGUAUCGUUCUAAUGCCUCAUACAGGGACUCACCAUCCAUUUGUUGGAAGGCAAUGAUCUCGUUCCUCAACUU
rnacentral:snoRNA from 1 species